AGGCAGCAGUUGGGAAUAUUGCGCAAUGGGCGAAAGCCUGACGCAGCGACGCCGCGUGGGGGAUGACGGCCUUCGGGUUGUAAACCUCUUUCAGCAGGGACGAAGCGAAAGUGACGGUACCUGCAGAAGAAGCACCGGCCAACUACGUGCCAGCAGCCGCGGUAAUACGUAGGGUGCAAGCGUUGUCCGGAAUUAUUGGGCGUAAAGAGCUCGUAGGCGGUUUGUUGCGUCGGCUGUGAAAUCCCGAGGCUCAACCUCGGGUCUGCAGUCGAUACGAGCAAACUAGAGUGUUGCAGGGGAGACUGGAAUUCCUGGUGUAGCGGUGAAAUGCGCAGAUAUCAGGAGGAACACCGGUGGCGAAGGCGGGUCUCUGGGCAACAACUGACGCUGAGGAGCGAAAGCGUGGGGAGCGAACAGGAUUAGAUACCCUAGUAGUCC
rnacentral:rRNA from 1 species